rnacentral:rRNA from 1 species
UACGUAGGGGGCAAGCGUUGUCCGGAUUUAUUGGGCGUAAAGAGCGUGUAGGCGGCUAGAUAGGUCCGUUGUGAAAACUCGAGGCUCAACCUCGAGACGUCGGUUGAAACCGUAUGGCUAGAGUCCGGAAGAGGAGAGUGGAAUUCCCGGUGUAGCGGUGAAAUGCGCAGAUAUCGGGAAGAACACCUAUGGCGAAGGCAGCUCUCUGGGACGGUACUGACGCUGAGACGCGAAAGCGUGGGGAGCGAACAGG